GACGAACGCUGGCGGCGUGCUUAACACAUGCAAGUCGAACGGAAAGGCCCUGCUUUUGUGGGGUGCUCGAGUGGCGAACGGGUGAGUAACACGUGAGUAACCUGCCCUUGACUUUGGGAUAACUUCAGGAAACUGGGGCUAAUACCGGAUAGGAGCUCCUGCUGCAUGGUGGGGGUUGGAAAGUUUCGGCGGUUGGGGAUGGACUCGCGGCUUAUCAGCUUGUUGGUGGGGUAGUGGCUUACCAAGGCUUUGACGGGUAGCCGGCCUGAGAGGGUGACCGGCCACAUUGGGACUGAGAGACGGCCCAUACUCCUGCGGGAGGCAGUAGUGGGGAAUAUUGCACAAUGGGCGGAAGCCUGAUGCAGCAACGCCGCGUGCGGGAUGACGGCCUUCGGGUUGUAAACCGCUUUCGCCUGGGACGAAGCGUGAGUGACGGUAAUGGGUAAAGAAGCACCGGCUAAAUACGUG
rnacentral:rRNA from 1 species